GCAGUCGAACGGUAGCACAGAGGAGCUUGCUCCUUGGGUGACGAGUGGCGGACGGGUGAGUAAUGUCUGGGAAACUGCCCGAUGGAGGGGGAUAACUACUGGAAACGGUAGCUAAUACCGCAUAACGUCGCAAGACCAAAGAGGGGGACCUUCGGGCCUCUUGCCAUCGGAUGUGCCCAGAUGGGAUUAGCUAGUAGGUGGGGUAACGGCUCACCUAGGCGACGAUCCCUAGCUGGUCUGAGAGGAUGACCAGCCACACUGGAACUGAGACACGGUCCAGACUCCUACGGGAGGCAGCAGUGGGGAAUAUUGCACAAUGGGCGCAAGCCUGAUGCAGCCAUGCCGCGUGUAUGAAGAAGGCCUUCGGGUUGUAAAGUACUUUCAGCGAGGAGGAAGGCGUUGUGGUUAAUAACCGCAGCGAUUGACGUUACUCGCAGAAGAAGCACCGGCUAACUCCGUGCCAGCAGCCGCGGUAAUACGGAGGGUGCAAGCGUUAAUCGGAAUUACUGGGCGUAAAGCGCACGCAGGCGGUCUGUCAAGUCGGAUGUGAAAUCCCCGGGCUCAACCUGGGAACUGCAUCCGAAACUGGCAGGCUAGAGUCUUGUAGAGGGGGGUAGAAUUCCAGGUGUAGCGGUGAAAUGCGUAGAGAUCUGGAGGAAUACCGGUGGCGAAGGCGGCCCCCUGGACAAAGACUGACGCUCAGGUGCGAAAGCGUGGGG
rnacentral:rRNA from 1 species